UACAGAGGGGGCAAGCGUUGUUCGGAAUUACUGGGCGUAAAGGGCGCGUAGGCGGCCUUCUAAGUCGAACGUGAAAUCCCUGGGCUCAACCCAGGAACUGCGUCCGAUACUGGAAGGCUUGAAUCCGGGAGAGGGAUGCGGAAUUCCAGGUGUAGCGGUGAAAUGCGUAGAUAUCGGGAGGAACACCUGUGGCGAAGGCGGCCCCCUGGUUGGAUACUGACGCUGAGACGCGAAAGCGUGGGGAGCAAACAGG
rnacentral:rRNA from 1 species